rnacentral:rRNA from 1 species
CAGCACCUCAAGUGGGUCAGGAUGAUUAUUGGGCCUAAAGCAUCCGUAGCCUGCUUUGUUAGUUUUCGGGUUAAAUCAUACGCUUAACGUAUGGGCUGCCGGGAAUACUGCAAAGCUAGGGAGUGGGAGAGGUAGACGGUACUCGGUAGGAAGGGGUAAAAUCCUUUGAUCUAUUGAUGACCACCUGUGGCGAAGGCGGUCUACCAGAACACGUCCGACGGUGAGGGAUGAAAGCUGGGGGAGCAAACCGGAUUAGAUACCCGGGUAGUCCCAGCUGUAAACUAUGCAAACUCGGUGAUGCAUUGGCUUGAUGCCAAUGCAGUGCCGCAGGGAAGCCGUUAAGUUUGCCGCCUGGGAAGUACGUACGCAAAGUAUG